UGUAUAGCCAAUGAGAGGCUUGAUUCAGACCCUACCCUACAACCAGAGGACUUGUCCGGGAAGGGAAAUGUGGCUACGUCCAGGCUUUCACUAAAUUACCAAGGUGAGUCUUGAACCUGUAAUCUUUCUUCCUCCGACUGUGAAGUCACUGCGAUUACAGGAUCCUAUGGACUGAGCACCAUUUUAAAGAUGGGGAAACUGAGGUUGGAGAAGUUACAUCAGCAAGCAGCCCAAGCACACGCAGCAAGUAAGGAGAAAGUGGGGGAAGGAAACAGAUGCAUUUGGGGGCUGAAGGCUGGCUGCCAGGGUAGGG